rnacentral:rRNA from 1 species
UGGGCAACCUGCCCCAGACACUGGGAUAACUCCGGGAAACCGGGGCUAAUACCGGAUACUCUCAGCCGACCGCAUGACCGGCUGAGGAAAGCUCCGGCGGUCUGGGAUGGGCCCGCGGCCUAUCAGCUUGUUGGUGGGGUAACGGCCUACCAAGGCGACGACGGGUAGCUGGUCUGAGAGGAUGAUCAGCCACAUUGGGACUGAGACACGGCCCAAACUCCGUACGGGAG